rnacentral:lncRNA from 1 species
AAAAAAAAAAUUCCAAUUAAAACAGAUAACCUUUUUUAAACCUAACAACUAGUCUUUUACUUAUGCCAUUCAGUUUAGAGAGAGUGUGGAAAACUUCUGAUAGGAAUAUAUUUCAGGAUAACCUUUCUGAGAACAUUUUAAAAGUAGGAUUCAAGAGCACACACAGAUGAUGGAAUCCUGUGUAGUUGAUAUGAUUUAAUCUAUGUUGAUUGAUUUGGAAAGACAUAUAUGGCAAAUUGUGGAGUAAAAAAAGUACUCACUAGAUACUGGCCUAUAUGGAAUGGUCCCAUUUAUGUAAAAUUGUGUAUGUGCAUGCACAGAUCUGUCUUCUAUCAGGGUAUCUGGAAAAUGUUCAACAAAAUAGUAACAAUGGUUAUCUGUUUUGUUUUGUUUUUUCAGAGACAGGGUCUUGCUGUAUUGCCCAGGCUGGAGUACAGUGGUGCAAUCAUAGCUCACUGUAGCCUCUAACUCCUGGGCUCAUGCCACACAAUCCUCCCGCCUCAGCCUCCUGAGUAGCUGGGACUACAGGCAUGUACCACCUUGCUUGGCUCUCGUUAUCUGUUGAUACUGGAAUUUCUGCUUUUUUCCUGGUACAGAUACAUACGUACAAGUACUUUGACCCCAAAAUUCUAUUUUCUUAGAAUAAAUUCCCAGAAGGAAUGAAAGAUGUGUGCAAAGACUAUCAAUGAGAAUGUUGGCCAGACGUGGUAGUCUACACCUGUAAUCGCAGCACUUUGGGAGGCUGAGGCAAAGGGGAUCACUUGAGGCCAGGAGUUUAGACCAGCCUGGGCAACAUGGCAAAAACAUGUCUCUACAAAAAAUACAAAAAGUAUCCAGGUAUGGAGGCAUAUGCCUGUAGUCCCAGCUACUCAUAGGAAGCUGAGGCAGGAGGAUCACUUGAGCCCAGGGAGGUUGAGGCUGCAGUGAGCCAUGAUCACACCACUGCACUCCAACCUGGUUAACAGAGUGUCUCUAAAAAUAAAAUAAAAUAAGAUGUAGAUACAUGCAGGAGGCUGAGGUGAUGGAUCACUUGAGCCCAGGAGUUUGAGUCCAGCCUGGGCAACAUUGAAAGACUAUAUAUUUUAAAGUAGACACAUGUAUAAAAUCACACAUGCAUAAAACAACUGAAGGAAUAUCUAUUAAAAUGUUGGCAGCAAUUAGCUUUGGUUGGUAGAAUAACAGAAGGGUUACUUUUCUCACUUCGUUCAUCCAUAUUUUCCAAAGUUUAAAAAAAAAAGAAACGGCCUGGUGCAGUGGCUCAUGCCUAUAGUCCUAGCACUUUGGGAGGCCAAGGCAAGAGGGUCGAUUGAGUCCAGGAGCUCAAGACCAGCCUGGGCAACGUAGGGAGACCCUGUCUCUACAAAAAAUAAAAAAUCAGUUGUU